GAUCAAGUGCCUUAAGAGCAUCUGGUGGAUGCCUUGGCGCUGAGAGGCGAUGAAGGACGUGGUACGCUGCGAUAAGCCUUGGGGAGCUGCGAACGAGCUUUGAUCCAAGGAUCUCCGAAUGGGGAAACCCACCUUCGACCUUCCGUAUGGCAGCAGCACAGCAGGCCUGGGGCACGACCCCGGCGGAUCUCACAAUCCGGGCCGGUGUGAGGCUUCCAUACGGUUGGUCAGAUGAAGGUAUCAGGCCCUGAAUUCAUAGGGGUUUGAAGCGAACCCGGGGAACUGAAACAUCUCAGUACCCGGAGGAAAGGACAUCAACGAGACUCCGUCAGUAGUGGCGAGCGAACGCGGAUCAGGCCAGCGCCUGAGGUGAGAUUACCGGAACGGUCUGGAAAGGCCGGCGAUAAGGGUGACAGCCCCGUACGGGACGAUCGAUCUUCAGGACACGAGUAGGGCGGGACACGUGAAAUCCUGUCUGAACAUGGGGGGACCACCCUCCAAGCCUAAGUACUCCUCAGCGACCGAUAGCGAACCAGUACCGUGAGGGAAAGGUGAAAAGCACCCCGACGAGGGGAGUGAAAUAGUACCUGAAACCGGAUGCUUACAAACAGUGGGAGCUCAAGGUUCGUCCUGAGUGACCGCGUACCUUUUGUAUAAUGGGUCAGCGACUUAAAGUUACGAGCAAGCUUAAGCCGAUAGGUGGAGGCGCAGCGAAAGCGAGUCUGAACAGGGCGUUCAGUUCGUGGCUUUAGACCCGAAACCGAGUGAUCUAGCCAUGUGCAGGAUGAAGGUGGGGUAACACCCACUGGAGGUCCGAACCAGUGCCCGUUGAAAAGGUCUUGGAUGACGUGUGGCUAGGGGUGAAAGGCCAAUCAAACUCGGAAAUAGCUGGUUCUCCGCGAAAGCUAUUUAGGUAGCGCCUCGCGUGUAUGUCCCAGGGGGUAGAGCACUGGAUGGGCUAGGGCCGCCCACAGCGGUACCAAACCCAACCAAACUCCGAAUACCUGGGAACUUGCGCGGGAGACACACGGCGGGUGCUAACGUCCGUCGUGGAGAGGGAAACAACCCGGACCGACAGCUAAGGCCCCCAAUUCGUGGCUAAGUGGGAAAGGAUGUGGGACUCCCAAAACAACCAGGAGGUUGGCUUAGAAGCAGCCAUCCUUUAAAGAAAGCGUAACAGCUCACUGGUCUAAAUAAGGGGUCCUGCGCCGAAAAUGUAACGGGGCUCAAGCCACGAGCCGAAGCUUCGGAUGCAUUCCGCAAGGGAUGCGUGGUAGCGGAGCGUUCUCUAAGCCGGUGAAGCGGUACCUGUGAGGGGCCGUGGAGGUAUGAGAAGUGCGAAUGCUGACAUGAGUAACGACAAAGAGUGUGAAAGACACUCUCGCCGAAAGUCCAAGGGUUCCUGCGUAAAGUUAAUCUGCGCAGGGUUAGCCGGCCCCUAAGGCGAGGCCGAAAGGCGUAGUCGAUGGGAACGGGGCAAA
rnacentral:rRNA from 1 species